GAUGAACGCUGGCGGCGUGCCUAAUACAUGCAAGUCGAGCGAAUGGAUUAAGAGCUUGCUCUUAUGAAGUUAGCGGCGGACGGGUGAGUAACACGUGGGUAACCUGCCCAUAAGACUGGGAUAACUCCGGGAAACCGGGGCUAAUACCGGAUAACAUUUUGAACCGCAUGGUUCGAAAUUGAAAGGCGGCUUCGGCUGUCACUUAUGGAUGGACUCGCGUCGCAUUAGCUAGUUGGUGAGGUAACGGCUCACCAAGGCAACGAUGCGUAGCCGACCUGAGAGGGUGAUCGGCCACACUGGGACUGAGACACGGCCCAGACUCCUACGGGAGGCAGCAGUAGGGAAUCUUCCGCAAUGGACGAAAGUCAGACGGAGCAACGCCGCGUGAGUGAUGAAGGCUUUCGGGUCGUAAAACUCUGUUGUUAGGGAAGAACAAGUGCUAGUUGAAUAAGCUGGCACCUUGACGGUACCUAACCAGAAAGCCACGGCUAACUACGUGCCAGCAGCCGCAGUAA
rnacentral:rRNA from 1 species